rnacentral:rRNA from 1 species
CCUACGGGGUGCAGCAGUGGGGAAUAUUGCACAAUGGGCGCAAGCCUGAUGCAGCCAUGCCGCGUGUGUGAAGAAGGCCUUCGGGUUGUAAAGCACUUUCAGCGGGGAGGAAGGCGUUGAGGUUAAUAACCUCAUCGAUUGACGUUACCCGCAGAAGAAGCACCGGCUAACUCCGUGCCAGCAGCCGCGGUAAUACGGAGGGUGCAAGCGUUAAUCGGAAUUACUGGGCGUAAAGCGCACGCAGGCGGUCUGUCAAGUCGGAUGUGAAAUCCCCGGGCUCAACCUGGGAACUGCAUUCGAAACUGGCAGGCUAGAGUCUUGUAGAGGGGGGUAGAAUUCCAGGUGUAGCGGUGAAAUGCGUAGAGAUCUGGAGGAAUACCGGUGGCGAAGGCGGCCCCCUGGACAAAGACUGACGCUCAGGUGCGAAAGCGUGGGGAGCAAACAGGAUUAGAUACCCGUGUAGUC